AACGAACGCUGGCGGCAUGCCUAACACACGCAAGUCGAACGAGAUCUUCGGGUCUAGUGGCGCACGGGUGCGUAACGCGUGGGAAUCUGCCCUUUGGUUCGGAAUAACAGUUGGAAACGACUGCUAAUACCGGAUGAUGACGAAAGUCCAAAGAUUUAUCGCCAGAGGAUGAGCCCGCGUAGGAUUAGCUAGUUGGUGUGGUAAAGGCGCACCAAGGCGACGAUCCUUAGCUGGUCUGAGAGGAUGAUCAGCAACACUGGGACUGAGACACGGCCCAGACUCCUACGUGAGGCAGCAGUGGGGAAUAUUGGACAAUGGGCGAAGGCCUGAUCCAGCAAUGCCGCGUGAGUGAUGAAGGCCUUAGGGUUGUAAAGCUCUUUUACCCGGGAUGAUAAUGACAGUACCGGGAGAAUAAGCUCCGGCUAACUCCGUGCCAGCAGCCGCCGUAA
rnacentral:rRNA from 1 species